rnacentral:rRNA from 1 species
GACGAACGCUGGCGGCGUGCUUAACACACGCAAGUCGAACGGAAAGGCCUGCUUUCCCUUGUGGAUUGCGGGUACUCGAGUGGCGAACGGGUGAGUAACACGUGAGUGAUCUGCCCCCAACUUGGGUAUAAGCCUGGGAAACUGGGUCUAAUUCCCGAUAGGACUGCAGGGUGGUGCCUGUGGUGGAAAACGAUUUUCUAGUGGUUGGGGAUGAGCUCGCGGCCUACCAGCUUGUUGGUGGGGUAAUGGCCUACCAAGGCGGCGACGGGUAGCCGGCCUGGGAGGGUGGACGGCCACAUUGGGACUGAGAUACGGCCCAGACUCCUACGGGGGGCAGCAGUGGGGAAUAUUGCACAAUGGGCGGAAGCCUGAUGCAGCGACGCCGCGUGGGGGAUGACGGCCUUCGGGUUGUAAACUCCUUUCGACCGCGAGGAAGCCACCUGGUUGGAAGGGUGGUGACGGUAGUGGUAGAAGAAGCACCGGCUAACUACGUG